GAUGAACGCUGGCGGCGUGCCUUAUACAUGCAAGUCGAGCGGACGCACGAGAAGCAUGCUGCUCUGAUGUUAGCGACGGGCGGGUGAUUAAUACGUAGAUAACCUAUCUAUAAGGCUGACAUAACGUCGGCAAACCUGAUCUAACACCCGAUAAUAGGUUGAACCGCAUGGUUCAAAAGGGAAAGACCGUCUUGCGCUCACGUAUACAUGGAAGCACGGUGCAUUAGCUAGUUGGUAAGGUAACGGCUUACCAAGGCAACGAUGCAUAGCCGACCUGAGAGGGUGAUCGGCCACACUGGGACUGAGACACGGUCCAGACUCCUACGGGAGGCAGCAGUAGGGAAUCUUGCGCAAUGGGCGAAAGCCUGACGGAGCCAUGCCGCGUGCGUGAUGAAGGUCUUCGGAUCGUAAACCUCUGUUAUUAGGGACGAAAAUAUGUGUACGAAAAUAGACACAUAAUGACGGUACCUAAUGAGAAAGCACCGGCUAACUACGUG
rnacentral:rRNA from 1 species